AGCGUACGAAGAGGAAAGCAUGCCCGAGCUGCCUUCUCCCACGGAUGAUGCGCAGGGUGACAUGACUUUCGAACAAGAGCCGUUUUUGAAGGGGAAAGAAAGAUCUGCCAUAUCGGGAGACGAGGAAUACGGGAGCAUCAACGAGAAAACGUCGGGGGGUACCCCGGAGAAGGGCA
rnacentral:ribozyme from 1 species